AGGGCUACACACGUGCUACAAUGGCGCAUACAGAGGGCAGCCAACUUGCGAAAGUGAGCGAAUCCCAAAAAGUGCGUCGUAGUCCGGAUUGGAGUCUGCAACUCGACUCCAUGAAGUCGGAAUCGCUAGUAAUCGUGGAUCAGAAUGCCACGGUGAAUACGUUCCCGGGCCUUGUACACACCGCCCGUCACACCAUGGGAGUGGGCUGCAAAAGAAGUAGGUAGUUUAACCUUCGGGGGGACGCUUACCACUUUGUGGUUCAUGACUGGGGUGAAGUCGUAACAAGGUAGCGCUAGGGGAACCUGGCGCUGGAUCACCUCCUUA
rnacentral:rRNA from 1 species